ensembl:snoRNA
GCGUGGCUGAAUACCGUGUUCUUUUUAUCCAUAGUUUACACAGCCAGACACCAUGCAAAUGCCUAUGAUGGUGUGGGGAGUUCUUCCAUAGCUUAUCGUUUUCUAAAGUGGAUACGAAU